UGUUUUAUUUAUUAAUUAAUUAACUUAUUUAUGUUUUAUGUCGGUUGGUGCUAAUUGGGGUGGCUUGGAUGCCACGUCCACCCGUGCAUGCAAAUUAGGGUGGCUUGGAUGCCACGUGCACCCUUUGCAUGCUUAUCAACAAAUUAGGUGGGCAUUGCCUAAUCUUUCUACUUCUCUCUUUGUUCAACCGAAGCAAAGAGCUCGGAGGAGGUAGCCGCGAGGACGAGUUCGACGCCGACGACGCGCCGCGAAGCCGUUCGAGGGUACGGUUGGGAUUGUAGCGUUGCGAGGAAACUAGGCGAGGAUGCGUUUUCGCCGUUCUCGACGCCGCGUCGAUGUCCGAUUAGCCUUUGAGCGUCGACCGUCGGUAUUUCAGUUCGUACUCGGCGUAGGAGCGUCGGUUUUCGACGGGACUUGGUUUGUUGGAUUCGGGACUUCGAGAGGAAUCCACGAAGCCCUUACUUGCUGGAUUUGGUAAAGGUUUGCUAGAGUUUGGCGGGAGCUUGACUUCGGGCCUUGGGAGGUUUUCGGACGUUUCGGCAGGUUGUUCCGCAGCCGAGGGGAGUUCCGUGCUGCCAGGGAUUAGCGAGCGAGGUGGGUUACAUCGGUUUAUUCCUAAGUAUAGCAUUAGUCGACAUGUAUGAUUUGUAGUUGUAUAAAUCAUGUGUAGCUCUAUCUCAUUGAUUAUAUCUUGGAUAAAUACGAUUUGAGAACAUGAUUAAUAAAUAUGAAUAUACAUGUUGGACUUGGAUUUGACUUAGGAGAAAACGCGAUAACGAUCGGCAUAUGUUAACUACCUGAUUUAGCCCUAGGGACCGUGGUAUGAUUUUAUACGGUUUCAGUAUCAUCAUAGUGAGUAUUCCAGGUAGUUUAGAUUUCAGUUACACUCGUGCUGGGAUGCCGAGUGUAUUUUUACAGUAGCGUUCAGGCUGUUCCGGACUG